GGGUCUCAGCUCAUGGGGUCCCAGGACACGGGUUUUAGGCAUUGUAAGACCUUUGGGAUUUACUCUGAGUGAAAAGGCGAGUCAUGGCCACAUUUUGAACAGACAAAUGAUAUAAUAUGAUUUACAUUUUGAAAGAAUUUCACCUUUAAUUUAUUGAACCCUUAGGAUAGUGCCAGGAACUGUGCAAAUUGCUCUAUACACAAUCUCUUCCAAUCUUCCCAGAA